ACGGGAGGCAGCAGUAGGGAAUAUUGCACAAUGGGGGAAACCCUGAUGCAGCGACGCCGCGUGAGCGAUGAAGUAUUUCGGUAUGUAAAGCUCUAUCAGCAGGGAAGAUAAUGACGGUACCUGACUAAGAAGCCCCGGCUAACUACGUGCCAGCAGCCGCGGUAAUACGUAGGGGGCAAGCGUUAUCCGGAUUUACUGGGUGUAAAGGGAGUGUAGAUGGCAUGGCAAGUCAGAUGUGAAAGCUCGGGGCUCAACCCCGGAACUGCAUUUGAAACUGUCAAGCUGGAGUGCAGGAGAGGAAAGUGGAAUUCCUAGUGUAGCGGUGAAAUGCGUAGAUAUUAGGAGGAACACCAGUGGCGAAGGCGGCUUACUGGACUGUAACUGACGUUGAGGCUCGAAAGCGUGGGGAGCAAACAGGAUUAGAUACCCUGGUA
rnacentral:rRNA from 1 species